UACAGAGGCCUCGAGCGUUGUCCGGAAUUACUGGGCGUAAAGCGCGUGUAGGCGGCUUUGCAAGUCGGGUGUGAAAUCCCACGGCUCAACCGUGGAAGUGCACUCGAAACUGCAAGGCUAGAGUCCUGGAGAGGAAGGUGGAAUGCUUGGUGUAGAGGUGAAAUUCGUAGAUAUCAAGCGGAACACCGGUGGCGAAGGCGGCCUUCUGGACAGUGACUGACGCUGAGACGCGAAAGCGUGGGGAGCAAACAGG
rnacentral:rRNA from 1 species